UACUCCUACGGGAGGCAGCAGUGGGGAAUUUUGGGCAAUGGGGGAAAGCCUGAUCCAGCGACACUGCGUGGGUGAUGACGGUCUUUGGAUUGUAAAACCCUUUUAUGGAGGAGUAAGACUCGACCGAGGAAAUGCGGUCUGGUUUGACAGUACUCCAUGAAUAAGCCCCAGCCAACUACGUGCCAGCAGCCGCGGUAAUA
rnacentral:rRNA from 1 species